rnacentral:tRNA from 1 species
GGUCCCAUCGUCUAGUGGUCCAGGAUAUCGCCCUCUCACGGCGGAGACACGGGUUCGAACCCCGUUGGGACUGCCA